AGGCAUCAAUGGGGGGCAUGGAAACCAACACAACCAUCAAUGGGGGGCAUGGCAUCAAUGGGGGGGGUGUGGGAAUCACCACAGGCAUCAAUGGGGGGCAUGGGAACCAACGUGGCCGUCAAUGGGGCAUGCAGCCAUCAAUGGGGGGCGUGGGAAUCUCCACAGCCAUCAAUGGGGGGUGUGGGAAACAAUGCAGACAUCAAUGGGGGAGGGGGGUGGGAAAGAAUGCAGCCAUGAAUGGGGUGCGUGGGAAACAUUGUGGCCGUCAAUGGGGGGGCGUGGGAAACAUUGUGGCCGUCAAUGGGGGGGCAGAGGGGGAAGAAUGCAGCCAUCAAUGGGGGCUGUGGGAAACAAUGUGGCCAUCAAUGGGGAGUGUGGGAACCACCAUGGGGUGUUUGGGAAACAAUGCAGCCAUCAAUGGAGGGCGUGGGAACCACCAUGAGGUGUUUGGGAAACAAUGCAGCCAUCAAUGGAGGCGUGGGAAACAAUGCAGCCAUCAAUGGAGGCGUGGGAAACAAUGCAGCCAUCAAUGGGGGGUGUGGGAAACAAUGCAGCCAUGAAUGGGGGGUGUGGGAAACAUUGUGGCCAUCAAUGGGGGAGGUGUGGGAAACAAUGCAGCCGUCAAUGGGGAGCGUGGGAACCAGCACGGGGUGUGUGGGAAACAAUGCAGCCAUCAAUGGAGGCGUGGGAAACACUGUGGCCGUCAAUGGGGGGCGUGGGAAACAACAUGGGGUGUGUGGGAAACGUUGUGGCCAUCUAUGGGGAGCUGGGAAACAAUGAAGCCAUCAAUGGGGGGCGUGGGAAGCAAUGCAGCCAUCAAUGGAGGCGUGGGAAACAAUGCAGUCAUCAAUGGAGGCGUGGGAAUUAACGCGGCCAUCAAUGGGGGAGCGUGGGAACCAAGCUUCCAGCAGCGCCCAUUCACCACUCUGGCCCCCAAUGGCCCCCAUUGAUACAAAUCCCAUUCAUCCCAAUGCCCCCAGUGACCCCACUGACCCCAGUGACCCCAUUGACCCCAUUGACCCCCAUUGACCCCAAUGUCCCCAUUACCCCCAAUGUCCCCAUUUGUCCCCACUGACCCGAAAGGCCCCCAAAUGUCCCCAAGGUCUCCAUUGACCCCACUGACCCCAAAGUUCCCCACUGACCCCAUUGAGCCCAAAGCUCCCAUUCACUUCAAUGUCUCCCACUGACCCCAUUGACCC
rnacentral:lncRNA from 1 species